UACUCCUACGGGAGGCAGCAGUGAGGAAUAUUGGGCAAUGGAGGCAACUCUGACCCAGCCAUGCCGCGUGCAGGAAGACGGUCCUAUGGAUUGUAAACUGCUUUUGUACGGGAAGAAACAUCUCUUCGUGAAGAGACUUGACGGUACCGUAAGAAUAAGGAUCGGCUAACUCCGUGCCAGCAGCCGCGGUAAUA
rnacentral:rRNA from 1 species